GUUGGUGGAGUGAUCUGUCAGGUUGAUUCCGGUAACGAACGAGACCUCAGCCUACUAAAUAGCUUUGGUGACCUUGGUCAUUGGAAAGCUUCUUAGAGGGACUAUCGGUGUGUAACCGGUGGAAGUUUGAGGCAAUAACAGGU
rnacentral:rRNA from 1 species